UACGGGGGGGGCAAGCGUUGUUCGGAAUUACUGGGCGUAAAGGGCGCGUAGGCGGCCUUCUAAGUCGGACGUGAAGUCCCUCGGCUUAACCGAGGAACUGCGUCCGAUACUGAAAGGCUUGAAUCCGGGAGAGGGAUGUGGAAUUCCAGGUGUAGCGGUGAAAUGCGUAGAUAUCUGGAGGAACACCGGUGGCGAAGGCGGCAUCCUGGACCGGCAUUGACGCUGAGGCGCGAAAGCUAGGGGAGCAAACGGG
rnacentral:rRNA from 1 species